UCCUCCUAUUUUCAGUUGGUUUGCCGCGAGGACCAGGGUAAUGAUUAAUAGGGAUAGUUGGGGGCAUUAAUAUUUAAUUGUCAGAGGUGAAAUUCUUGGAUUUAUGAAAGAUUAACUUCUGCGAAAGCAUCUGCCAAGGAUGUUUUCAUUAAUCAAGAACGAAAGUUAGGGGAUCGAAGACGAUCAGAUACCGUCGUAGUCUUAACCAUAAACGAUGCCGACCAGCGAUUAGGAGACGUUGAAUACAAAACACCACCAUGCGCAUUGCGGUCGUCUUUGGUGUCGCUCACAAGGCGGCACCGGGGCGGCUUAGCUCGCAUGGCACCGGUG
rnacentral:rRNA from 1 species